rnacentral:misc_RNA from 1 species
GAUGAAGAACGCAGUGAAAUGCGAUAAGUAAUGUGAAUUGCAGAAUUCAGUGAAUCAUCGAAUCUUUGAACGCACAUUGCGCCCCCUGGUAUUCCGGGGGGCAUGCCUGUCCGAGCGUCAUUACAACCCUCAAGCUCAGCUUGGUGUUGGGCCCCGCCGCCCCGGCGGGCCCUAAAGUCAGUGGCGGUGCCGUCCGGCUCCGAGCGUAGUAAUUCUUCUCGCUCUGGAGGUCCGGUCGUGUGCUCGCCAGCAACCCCCAAUUUUUUUCAGGUUGACCUCGGAUCAGGUAGGGAUACCCGCUGAACUUAAGCAUAUCAAUAAGCAGAGGA